AGAGUUUGAUCCUGGCUCAGGACGAACGCUGGCGGCGCGCUUAACACAUGCAAGUCGAGCGAUAACCAUGGCUUCGGCUAUGGGGAGAGCGGCGAACGGGUGAGUAACACGUGAGCGAUCUGCCCUCGACACUGGGAUAGCCCGGGGAAACCCGGAUUAAUACCGGAUAGCCUCUCGGGCCCACGGGCUCGUGAGAAAAGAUGGCUUCGGCUUUCGGUUGAGGAGGAGCUUGCGGCGUAUUAGCUUGUUGGUGGGGUAACGGCUCACCAAGGCGACGAUCCGUAGCUGGUCUGAGAGGACGAUCAGCCACACUGGGACUGAGACACGGCCCAGACUCCUACGGGAGGCAGCAGUGGGGAAUCUUGCGCAAUGGGCGAAAGCCUGACGCAGCGACGCCGCGUGAGGGAAGAAGGCCUUCGGGUUGUAAACCUCUU
rnacentral:rRNA from 1 species